GGGAGCCGUGUAAAUCGAGAGGUUUACGCACGGUUCUGCGAGAGACUCGGGGCGCAAUUCCCCGGGUCUACUCACC
rnacentral:ncRNA from 1 species